rnacentral:lncRNA from 1 species
CAGAAGGCCAGCUGCCUUCACCUCUCACUACCACGAAAGUAGUAGAGCUUGGGUUUGGCUGCCAUGACUCCUGGCUCAGGGUUUUCAAGGACACAGAUGAAGAGAUGCAGAGGGUGACAUACGGGGCAAGAUGCCUGGAUUUCCUGUGCCCUCCCCAGGUACUACCCUCCAGGUACCUCCAGGUAUAAAAAGACAAUCUACUGUGAAGACCUUAGAUGUCUCCAUCCUCCUGCUCCAGAAGUUCCAUCAGAUUCUUUCAGGCUCUAGAAUGGGAAUGUCUCUCUGUGGUAUGCAAGCAAUGCCUCCACUAACUGACUGCCCAGGCUAUGAAGUCGAGACCAUGAAGAUCACCAUUCUACACUCCGUGUCCCCUGCUUUCUCUGUGAAAAUGUUUCAGCAGAGACAUG